rnacentral:rRNA from 1 species
UCUGUGGAAAGAGGAUUCGUCCAAUUGAAACAGAGGACAGUGGCGGACGGGUGAGUAACGCGUGAGGAACCUGCCUUUCAGAGGGGGACAACAGUUGGAAACGACUGCUAAUACCGCAUGACACAUUGAGGUCGCAUGGCCUUGAUGUCAAAGAUUUAUCGCUGAAAGAUGGCCUCGCGUCUGAUUAGCUAGUUGGUGAGGUAACGGCCCACCAAGGCGACGAUCAGUAGCCGGACUGAGAGGUUGAACGGCCACAUUGGGACUGAGAUACGGCCCAGACUCCUACGGGAGGCAGCAGUGGGGAAUAUUGGGCAAUGGGCGCAAGCCUGACCCAGCAACGCCGCGUGAAGGAAGAAGGCUUUCGGGUUGUAAACUUCUUUUGUCAGGGACGAGUAGAAGACGGUACCUGACGAAUAAGCCACGGCUAACUACGUGCCAGCAGCCGCGGUAAUACGUAGGUGGCAAGCGUUGUCCGGAUUUACUGGGUGUAAAGGGCGUGUAGCCGGGAGGGCAAGUCAGAUGUGAAAUCCACGGGCUUAACUCGUGAACUGCAUUUGAAACUGUUCUUCUUGAGUAUCGGAGAGGCAAUCGGAAUUCCUAGUGUAGCGGUGAAAUGCGUAGAUAUUAGGAGGAACACCAGUGGCGAAAGCGGAUUGCUGGACGACAACUGACGGUGAG